GUGCUCACUUCGGAAGCCCAUAUACUAAAAUAGGAAUGAUACAGAGAAGAUUAUUAUGGCCCCUGCAAAGUGACCACGAGAUGUUGAAUCGUGAGAUCCUGUG
ensembl:snRNA U6 U6 spliceosomal RNA